UGGGGAAUUUUGGACAAUGGGCGAAAGCCUGAUCCAGCAAUGCCGCGUGUGUGAAGAAGGCCUUCGGGUUGUAAAGCACUUUUGUCCGGAAAGAAAUCCUUGGCUCUAAUACAGUCGGGGGAUGACGGUACCGGAAGAAUAAGCACCGGCUAACUACGUGCCAGCAGCCGCGGUAAUACGUAGGGUGCAAGCGUUAAUCGGAAUUACUGGGCUAAAGCGUGCGCAGGCGGUUUGCUAAGACCGAUGUGAAAUCCCCGGGCUCAACCUGGGAACUGCAUUGGUGACUGGCAGGCUAGAGUAUGGCAGAGGGGGGUAGAAUUCCACGUGUAGCAGUGAAAUGCGUAGAGAUGUGGAGGAAUACCGAUGGCGAAGGCAGCCCCCUGGGCCAAUACUGACGCUCAUGCACGAAAGCGUGGGGAGCAAACAGGAUUAGAUACCCUGGUAGUCCACGCCCUAAACGAUGUCAACUAGUUGUUGGGGAUUCAUUUCCUUAGUAACGUAGCUAACGCGUGAAGUUGACCGCCUGGGGAGUACGGUCGCAAGAUUAAAACUUAAGGAAUUGACGGGGUCAUAGCUGUUUCCU
rnacentral:rRNA from 1 species